GGCAGUAUAGUUCAGUGGUGGAGUGCUUGCCUAGCAUACGUGAGAGACCUUGGGUUUGAUUCUCAGCACUGCCA
rnacentral:tRNA from 1 species